AGUUUGAUUAUGGCUCAGAACGAACGCUGGCGGCAGGCCUAACACAUGCAAGUCGAGCGCGCCCUUCGGGGUGAGCGGCGGACGGGUUAGUAACGCGUGGGAACGUACCCUUUGGUAGGGAAUAGCCACUGGAAACGGUGAGUAAUACCCUAUGAGCCCUUCGGGGGAAAGAUUUAUCGCCAAAGGAUCGGCCCGCGUUAGAUUAGGUAGUUGGUGGGGUAAUGGCCUACCAAGCCUACGAUCUAUAGCUGGUUUUAGAGGAUGAUCAGCAACACUGGGACUGAGACACGGCCCAGACUCCUACGGGAGGCAGCAGUGGGGAAUCUUGGACAAUGGGGGCAACCCUGAUCCCAGCCAUGCCGCGUGAGUGAAGAAGGCCUUAGGGUCGUAAAGCUCUUUCGCCUGUGAAGAUAAUGACGGUAGCAGGUAAAGAAACCCCGGCUAACUCCGUGCCAGCCGCUGC
rnacentral:rRNA from 1 species